GGGGAAUAUUGCACAGUGGGCGCAAGCCUGAUGCAGCCAUGCCGCGUGUAUGAAGAAGGCCUUCGGGUUGUAAAGUACUUUCAGCGAGGAGGAAGGCGUUAAGGUUAAUAACCUUAGCGAUUGACGUUACUCGCAGAAGAAGCACCGGCUAACUCCGUGCCAGCAGCCGCGGUAACACGGAGGGUGCAAGCGUUAAUCGGAAUUACUGGGCGUAAAGCGCACGCAGGCGGUCUGUCAAGUCGGAUGUGAAAUCCCCGGGCUCAACCUGGGAACUGCAUUCGAAACUGGCAGGCUAGAGUCUUGUAGAGGGGGGUAGAAUUCCAGGUGUAGCAGUGAAAUGCGUAGAGAUCUGGAGGAAUACCGGUGGCGAAGGCGGCCCCCUGGACAAAGACUGACGCUCAGGUGCGAAAGCGUGGGGAGCAAAC
rnacentral:rRNA from 1 species